UGGGGAAUAUUGCACAAUGGGCGAAAGCCUGAUGCAGCAACGCUGCGUGAGGGACGACGGCCUUCGGGUUGUAAACCUCUUUUAGCAAGGAAGAAGCGAAAGUGACGGUACUUGCAGAAAAAGCGCCGGCUAACUACGUGCCAGCAGCCGCGGUAAUACGUAGGGCGCAAGCGUUAUCCGGAAUUAUUGGGCGUAAAGAGCUCGUAGGCGGUUUGUCGCGUCUGCUGUGAAAACCCGAGGCUCAACCUCGGGCCUGCAGUGGGUACGGGCAGACUAGAGUGCGGUGGGGGAGAUUGGAACUCCUGGUGUAGCGGUGGAAUGCGCAGAUAUCAGGAAGAACACCGAUGGCGAAGGCAGAUCUCUGGGCCGUAACUGACGCUGAGGAGCGAAAGGGUGGGGAGCAAACAGGGCUUAGAUACCCUGGUAGUCCACCCCGUAAACGUUGGGAACUAGUUGUGGGGUCCAUUCCACGGAUUCCGUGACGCAGCUAACGCAUUAAGUUCCCCGCCUGGGGAGUACGGCCGCAAGGCUAAAACUCAAAGGAAUUGACGGGGUCAUAGCUGUUUCCU
rnacentral:rRNA from 1 species